rnacentral:RNase_P_RNA from 1 species
UCAGCAGGCCGGAUGGCCGCUCUGCCGCUUAGUAUUUGCGUAUGCGGCGGGGAGGAAAGUCCGGGCUCCUUGGAAGCACGGUGCCGGAUAACCUCCGGCGGGGGCGACCCUAGGGAAAGUGCCACAGAAAGCAAACCGCCUGUCUGAAGCCUUCGGGCGGAAAGCGGGUAAGGGUGAAAGGGUGCGGUAAGAGCGCACCGCGUCUUUGGCAACAAAGGCGGCAAGGCAAACCCCACCGGGAGCAAGACCGAAUAGGGGCGGCGCGGGCGAGAAAUCGCUUAUGUCUGUUUCCGGACAAGCCGCCCGGGUUGGUUGCACGAGGCGUCUCGCAAGAGACGCCCCAGAUGAAUGGCCAUCACCUCGCGCAAGCGGGGAACAGAACCCGGCUUACAGGCUUGGUGACAUG